UUGCGGCGUCCUCGUGGCACGCUGUCGUGGUGUAGCUAGUUAGCAACUUUGCUUUUUUGAGCUUGCUGCCUAGCAGUCCUCUGUGUAUCACUGAAAUUACCAAAAUCUGUCUGAAUUUAAUGUAAUAUGGCUAUCAGUGUUAGUAUAAUGGUUGUGCUGAUUAUUUUGGCAAUGGAAUUUUGGCAAUGGGAUUUUGUAGAGAAAGCACACCAGAGCGAGCAUCCAUAUCCCUACAGUUUCUGGGGCUUCUCUUAAGGGCACUCCCGCUCGAACCUGUCAGUUACAUUCUGGCUUACAUACAGGGUUUUGUGUAUUUGCUAACAGUAGUCAAUAUAAUGUUAUUGACUAUUGUUACCCGUGGCUGGGUUUUCAGGUUAAUUUAGUUUGCAGAAUUUGCCUUGUCAUUACAAAGACCUUUCCAGUGAGUAAAUGAAUAGGAUUGUAUGCUUCGUACCCUGAGUGUACACACUUAUCACUUAAAGUCUGUCACAGAAAGCCCAAGCACCAGCUAAGUGUAUGGUGUUACUGGGCCCUGCGCUUUCAGCAAGCUACCAUACUUUGGUGUCACCCAGGCCUUUCUUCCGGAUGUUAUGCAUACUGUUUUAGAGGGCGCUAUUCCUGACACACUGAAGUUAAUCAUAAAGGCACUACACAAGAAUAAAAUUACCAGUGUCCAGGAACCUAAUCACAAAUUGAAACACUUUAGGUCAAAACGACAAACAUCAAACCAAGUUUGUUAUCUGAGAAGGUUUCUGCUGAUGGUCAAAUUGAUGGAAAAGCUACAGAGAAGUGGUCAUUGUUUCGCAUACUACCUUUCUUAAAUGGAGAGAAGGUUCCAGCUGAAAGAUCCUGUGUUCCCGACACCAACCGUGGUGAUCACCGAUUGUGUAGAUGGGAGGCCGCUCAGUGGAAGUGUAAAUGUGAAGCUGAUUGGUGACGGUGGGGUAGAUAUCACACUUGCUGUGGCGGUGGCAUAUUCUUUGUAUCACAUCAAGUUGACUAUUCAAAGAACUUCAGGAAGACCAUGAGCUUCCUAGAAGCAUUUGUCUUUAAGCGCAAAACACAUGUGCCUAUUGCUGUGCAGAGGGUUUACAACUCUUUGUAGAGAACCAAAAUACUCUGCAAUGGAAAGUGUACAAGCAUAGUUAAUACACAAACAUGUUGUUAGAAUCAUUUAUACGUACUUACAAACAUUUCAUCCUGUUCUUCUACAGUACCUCUAGUUUUCUCAUUAUUUGUUAAAGCACAACGUGGAUUUAAUACUUGCUGGUAUUAAUCUGUAAGGCUGAUAUAAAGCCCUUUUCUCUUCUGUUGUGAAAAGGUUUAUUUUUUAACACCUUUGUUCAAGUUGUAAGUACACAAAAAUUAUACACAUGCUGACAAGAGAAGGUGUUUUGCAGUUGUUGCAGCAGACUGGUGUUAGUCGACCUGAAGGAAAUUACUGUGUACUAUUCUGAGACUAGGGUAGAUUGCAAUAGCCUAUUCUCGUAUAUAGGCUAUUUGUGUGGUAGGACUUGAGAUUCAUUAUUUUGUCACUGUUGGGCCGUGUAAUAGAUAUUUUCUAAAUAAAAAUGAUCAUUUCAACA